UACGUAGGGUGCGAGCGUUAAUCGGAAUUACUGGGCGUAAAGCGCGCGCAGGCGGCGGGGCUGGCCCGGCGUGAAAGCCCCCGGCUCAACCGGGGAGGGUCGUCGGGGACCGCACCGCUUGAGGGCGGUAGGGGCUGGUGGAAUGCCUGGUGUAGUGGUGAAAUGCGUAGAGAUCAGGCGGAACACCCGUGGCGAAGGCGGCCAGCUGGGCCGUCCCUGACGCUGAGGCGCGAAGGCGUGGGGAGCGAACGGG
rnacentral:rRNA from 1 species